AGAACGAACGCUGGCGGCAGGCUUAACGCAUGCAAGUCGAGCGCCCCGCAAGGGGAGCGGCAGACGGGUGAGUAACGCGUGGGAAUCUACCGAGCCCUACGGAAUAACGCAUGGAAACGUGUGCUAAUACCGUAUACGCCCUACGGGGGAAAGAUUUAUCGGGGUUUGAUGAGCCCGCGUUGGAUUAGCUAGUUGGUGGGGUAAAGGCCUACCAAGGCGACGAUCCAUAGCUGGUCUGAGAGGAUGAUCAGCCACACUGGAACUGAGACACGGUCCAGACUCCGUACGGGAGGCAGCAGUGGGGAAUAUUGGACAAUGGGCG
rnacentral:rRNA from 1 species